rnacentral:rRNA from 1 species
UGGGGAAUAUUGGACAAUGGGCGGAAGCCUGAUCCAGCCAUGCCGCGUGUGUGAAGAAGGCCUUUUGGUUGUAAAGCACUUUAAGCGAGGAGGAGGCUACUUGGAUUAAUACUCUAGGAUAGUGGACGUUACUCGCAGAAUAAGCACCGGCUAACUCUGUGCCAGCAGCCGCGGUAAUACAGAGGGUGCGAGCGUUAAUCGGAUUUACUGAGCGUAAAGCGUGCGUAGGCGGCUUCUUAAGUCGGAUGUGAAAUCCCUGGGCUUAACUUAGGAAUUGCAUUGGAUACUGGGAAGCUAGAGUAUGGGAGAGGAUGGUAGAAUGCAAGGUGUAGCGGUGAAAUGCGUAGAGAUCUGGAGGAAUACCGAUGGCGAAGGCAGCCAUCUUGCCUAAUCCUGACGCGGAGGUACGAAAGCAUGGGGAGCAAACAGG